AAUCCCGGGACCCAUCGAGUUUUUGAACGCNAGUUGCGCCCGAAGCCACUAAGCUUAGGGCACGUCUGCCUGGGCGUCACGCAUCUAGUCGCCACCCCCUCUCGAUAUCACGUNUGGGGUGACGAAUGUUGGCUCUCCGUGCUCUUGAGGCGCGGUAUGCCUAAAUCUGAGUCUCUGGCGCGAGACGUCACGGCAAGUGGUGGUUGAAUUCAUCAACUCGUGUGCUGUCGUGACAACGCCGGACACGGACUCCNUCGACCCUAAAGCCCUCGGCCCGAAUUUGAGUCGCGUGCCUUCGACCGCGACCCCAGGUCAGGCGGGAUUACCCGCUGAGUUUAAGCNUAUCAAUAAGCGGA
rnacentral:rRNA from 1 species